rnacentral:rRNA from 1 species
GACGAACGCUGGCGGCGUGCUUAACACAUGCAAGUCGAACGGAAAGGCCCUGCUUUUGUGGGGUGCUCGAGUGGCGAACGGGUGAGUAACACGUGAGUAACCUGCCCUUGACUUUGGGAUAACUUCAGGAAACUGGGGCUAAUACCGGAUAGGAGCUCCUGCUGCAUGUUGGGGGUUGGAAAGUUUCGGCGGUUGGGGAUGGACUCGCGGCUUAUCAGCUUGUUGGUGGGGUAGUGGCUUACCAAGGCUUUGACGGGUAGCCGGCCUGAGAGGGUUACCGGCCACAAUGGGACUGAGAGACGGCCCAGACUCCUACGGGAGGCAGCAGUGGGGAAUAUUGCACAAUGGGCGGAAGCCUGAUGCAGCAACGCCGCGUGCGGGAUGACGGCCUUCGGGUUGUAAACCGAUUUCGCCUGUGACGAAGCGUGAGUGACGGUAAUGGGUAAAGAAGCACCGGCUAACUACGUG